UUUAUACCGCCCCGGGAUCUAAGCAUAUCAAUAAGCGGAGGAAAAGAAACCAACAGGGAUUGCCCCAGUAACGGCGAGUGAAGCGGCAACAGCUCAAAUUUGAAAUCUGGCCCCCCCGCGGGCCCGAGUUGUAAUUUGCAGAGGAUGCUUUUGGCGCGGCGCCUUCCGAGUGCCCUGGAACGGGACGCCAUAGAGGGUGAGAGCCCCGUCUGGUCGGACGCCCAGCCUCUGUAAAGCUCCUUCGACGAGUCGAGUAGUUUGGGAAUGCUGCUCUAAACGGGAGGUAUAUGUCUUCUAAAGCUAAAUACUGGCCAGAGACCGAUAGCGCACAAGUAGAGUGAUCGAAAGAUGAAAAGCACUUUGAAAAGAGGGUUAAACAGUACGUGAAAUUGUUGAAAGGGAAGCGCUUGUGACCAGACUCGGGCGCGGCGAAUCACCCGGCGUUCUCGCCGGUGCACUUCGACGCGCCCGGGCCAGCAUCAGCUCGCCGCGGGGGACAAAGGCGCCGGGAACGUGGCUCCCCAGGGAGUGUUAUAGCCCGGCGCGCAACGCCCCGCGGCGGACUGAGGUUCGCGCGUCCGCAAGGAUGCUGGCGUAAUGGUCACCAGUGACCCGUCUUGAAACACGGACCAAGGAGUCGUCCUCGUAUGCGAGUGUUCGGGUGUCAAACCCCUACGCGCAAUGAAAGUGAACGCGGGUGAGAGCCUCGCGGCGCAUCAUCGACCGAUCCUGAUGUUCUCGGAUGGAUUUGAGUAGGAGCAUACGGGGCCGGACCCGAAAGAAGGUGAACUAUGCCUGUGUAGGGUGAAGCCAGAGGAAACUCUGGUGGAGGCUCGCAGCGGUUCUGACGUGCAAAUCGAUCGUCAAACAUGGGCAUGGGGGCGAAAGACUAAUCGAACCUUCUAGUAGCUGGUUUCCGCCGAAGUCUCCUUCCAAGAAAACCUU
rnacentral:rRNA from 1 species